CUUAGUCAUUUUUCAGCUCGCGCGAAGUCCACGCGUGAUUUAUACCUACAAGAGAUCACUCUUUAUCCUAUCAUCUCGCUUCAUCCUAUUAUAGGUCCUUUUAUCUGGAGUUAUCGUUCCGGUAUUUAUAGAGUUCACUAGAUCUGAUACGUGCCCUGCAGUCCUUUAUAGCUAUGACGACUGGUUAACGAGAGUCUUUGACUAUGUGCACACGGUAACGUUUUCAAGCGUUUUUAGCUGUAACGUUUUGAAAAAGUGUCUUUUUAAUUCAAGCCGUGUCUACACGAAGAGAGGUGAAAACGACGUCUUAUGACGAAAACGUUUUCAUUGCUAAAAAACGUUUUCGGUAAGCGUUUUCGCGUUGAAACGCUAAAAAUCCAAGAUGGCGGCUUAAAAUCAAAAUAUUAUAUUCUUGUUUCCUGGAAGCUUACGGUUAGGCUAUUGGUAUCAUUAAUUCUUAAGUUAAAAACUUUAGCUACAAAUAAAACAAAAUAUAUUUUCUUUCAAGAUUUAUGAACGAUUUAAAAUGUGAUUUUGCUUUCAAAGGAGCGACAGACUUCGUACCGGUGAUGCUGAACAUAUACAUAUAAAACUGUUUACUUUAUUAUAAUGAACAGAGGACAUUUUAAGAAACUCGUUGACAAGUAAUGACUCCAUCUGGUGGAAAAUAAACGGCGAUAAGAAGCCGCGAGAGAUGCAAUUUUUGUCGAGACAAACACUUCCAUGCUGUGAAAACGUUUCUGUGUGGACAGAGCGUCAAACUGAAAAAAAUGGAAACGACUUUUUAGAAACGCUCGGAAACGUUACUGUGUGCACAUAGUCUUUGUUCACAAAUAGUCUAAAAAAUUGUAAACGUUACGGAGUUUGUAACAAUUUUCAUUUUGAUUUUUUAUUCCAAAUCAAGCAGUAUUAUUUAUACGUAGAUUACGGUUGUCAUUUCCCUAAUAACGUGCAUGUUAAAACUUAUUACAAAACUGGACUUUUUGUAAAGUAAAACUGGACGAAAGAAUCACGAUCUAGUGUUGCUAUACGGUGGACAAUCUGGAUGACACUGUUUAUAGUAGAUGGAUAUAAUAAUAGUUUAAUUUUAAAAUAGUUUAAUUUUUAAAAAAAUUCGAAUAGACACUUCACAAAAUUAAUGAUUUUAAUAAUUAAUGAAAUUAUUUUGGAAAGGAAAGCUGUUAACAUAUACUAAUAUAUAUACAUGAACAUAUAAAGAUAAUUGUUGACAUUUAUUGGUAAUUGACACGUGACCAUGACACAUGAUGA